rnacentral:rRNA from 1 species
AGAGUUUGAUCCUGGCUCAGGAUGAACGCUGGCGGCGUGCUUAACACAUGCAAGUCGAACGCACCCUUUCGGAGGUGAGUGGCGGACGGGUGAGUAACGCGUGAGGAUCUACCUAUAGGAGUGGGACAACCAUUGGAAACGAUGGCUAAUACCGCAUAUGGCGAGAGCUGAAAGAUUUAUCGCCUGUAGAAGAACUCGCGUCUGAUUAGCUAGUUGGUGGAGUAACGGUUCACCGAGGCGACGAUCAGUAGCUGGUCUGAGAGGAUGAUCAGCCACACUGGGACUGAGACACGGCCCAGACUCCUACGGGAGGCAGCAGUGGGGAAUUUUCCGCAAUGGGGGCAACCCUGACGGAGCAACGCCGCGUGGGGGAGGAAGGUCUGUGGAUUGUAAACCCCUUUUCUCAGGGAAGAAGUUCUGACGGUACCUGAGGAAUCAGCAUCGGCUAACUCCGUGCC